GGGCUGGAGAGAUGGCUCAGCCGUUAAAG
rnacentral:piRNA from 2 species